rnacentral:rRNA from 1 species
GACGAACGCUGGCGGCGUGCCUAAUACAUGCAGGUUGAGCGCUGAAGGUUGGUACUUGUACCAACUGGAUGAGCAGCGAACGGGUGAGUAACGCGUGGGGAAUCUGCCUUUGAGCGGGGGACAACAUUUGGAAACGAAUGCUAAUACCGCAUAAAAACUUUAAACACAAGUUUUAAGUUUGAAAGAUGCAAUUGCAUCACUCAAAGAUGAUCCCGCGUUGUAUUAGCUAGUUGGUGAGGUAAAGGCUCACCAAGGCGAUGAUACAUAGCCGACCUGAGAGGGUGAUCGGCCACAUUGGGACUGAGACACGGCCCAAACUCCUACGGGAGGCAGCAGUAGGGAAUCUUCGGCAAUGGACGAAAGUCUGACCGAGCAACGCCGCGUGAGUGAAGAAGGUUUUCGGAUCGUAAAACUCGGUUGGUAGAGAAGAACGUUGGUGAGAGUGGAAAGCUCAUCAAGUGACGGUAACUACACAGAAAGGGACGGCUAACUACGUG